ACACGUAGGGGCCUGACGUUGUUCGGAAUCAUUGGGCGUAAAGGGCGCGCAGGCGGCCGUCCAAGUCCGGUGUUAAAUGGUCGGGCUCAACCCGAUCAUGCGCUGGAAACUGGGCGGCUGGAGUCCCGGAGGGGAUGCCGGAAUUCCAGGUGUAGGGGCGAAAUCUGUAGAUAUCUGGAAGAACACCGAUGGCGAAGGCAGGCAUCUGGCCGGAGACUGACGCUGAGGCGCGAAGGCGCGGGGAGCGAACAGGUUUAGAUACCCUGGUAGUCCGCGCAGUAAACGAUGCGCACCAGGUGUCGGGCGGCAGCGCCCGGUACCGGAGCAAACGCGAUGAGUGCGCCGCCUGGGGAGUAUGCCCGCAAGGGUGAAACUCAAAGGAAUUGACGGGG
rnacentral:rRNA from 1 species